rnacentral:rRNA from 2 species
GCAAGUCGAGCGGAUCGAUGGGAGCUUGCUCCCUGAGAUCAGCGGCGGACGGGUGAGUAACACGUGGGUAACCUGCCUGUAAGACUGGGAUAACUCCGGGAAACCGGGGCUAAUACCGGAUAACACCUACCCCCGCAUGGGGGAAGGUUGAAAGGUGGCUUCGGCUAUCACUUACAGAUGGACCCGCGGCGCAUUAGCUAGUUGGUGAGGUAACGGCUCACCAAGGCGACGAUGCGUAGCCGACCUGAGAGGGUGAUCGGCCACACUGGGACUGAGACACGGCCCAGACUCCUACGGGAGGCAGCAGUAGGGAAUCUUCCGCAAUGGACGAAAGUCUGACGGAGCAACGCCGCGUGAGUGAAGAAGGUUUUCGGAUCGUAAAACUCUGUUGUUAGGGAAGAACAAGUGCCGUUCGAAUAGGGCGGCACCUUGACGGUACCUAACCAGAAAGCCACGGCUAACUACGUGCCAGCAGCCGCGGUAAUACGUAGGUGGCAAGCGUUGUCCGGAAUUAUUGGGCGUAAAGCGCGCGCAGGUGGUUUCUUAAGUCUGAUGUGAAAGCCCACGGCUCAACCGUGGAGGGUCAUUGGAAACUGGGGAACUUGAGUGCAGAAGAGGAAAGUGGAAUUCCAAGUGUAGCGGUGAAAUGCGUAGAUAUUUGGAGGAACACCAGUGGCGAAGGCGACUUUCUGGUCUGUAACUGACACUGAGGCGCGAAAGCGUGGGGAGCAAACAGGAUUAGA